GUUCAUGAUGAUGGAAUAUUUCUUCACUUUGACCUGAUGUCUAAUGAAGAAAUCUAACCUCUGAGA
ensembl:snoRNA